UACGGGGGGGGCAAGCGUUGUUCGGAAUUACUGGGCGUAAAGCGUGCGCAGGCGGCUCCUUAAGUCAGAUGUGAAAGCCCCGGGCUUAACCUGGGAACUGCGUUUGAAACUGGGGAGCUAGAGUGUAGAAGAGGGGGGUGGAAUUCCAGGUGUAGCAGUGAAAUGCGUAGAUAUCUGGAGGAACACCGAUGGCGAAGGCAGCCCCCUGGGCUAACACUGACGCUCAUGCACGAAAGCGUGGGGAGCAAACAGG
rnacentral:rRNA from 1 species